CGCUUGCAGUCCUGGGCAGACAGCAGCCCCCACCAUCCUCACAGCUGCUGGGGAAGGGAGCAAGGCCCAGAGACCCCUUGAUCCCUGGACGCCCCACACGCCUCCUCCCUCUGCUGACUCCACUCUGCCCUGUCCCCGGAAUGCGCUGCGGCCAUGGAGACCACAGGCCUUCUGGGGAGCCAGCCAGCCUGCGGUGCCGUGGGGCCUGACGCGUCACACACCAGACCUGGGUCACAGGGGGUGUUGCACUCCAGCCCCUCCUGGCCUCACAGAGGCCCCUGUGCUGUCCUUCAGGCCUGGGCUGCCCGCUCAGCUCUCGGCUCCAUCCCCAUCCAGCCAGCAGCCUCCGCUCCUGCGUCUUGAGGGUCUUCCAGGAAUCUGCCCUACAAGGCCCCCUCACCUGGGGCUCAGACACCCCCAAAACACUCCGCACGCCAGCCACGCCGCUGCCUGGGGCAGCCUCCAGCUCCUGUCAUUUAGCUGCGGGAUGCUGGGAGGAGCUGCUGUUCUGAGUCGCGCCUGCAGCACACAGCCGUCUGGAUAACACAGUAGCUUCUGCUUUUUGUUUU
rnacentral:lncRNA from 1 species